UGCUGCUCACUAUUGCAUUAUGAACUUCUUUUCCUCCAGUUAGACAGAUCCCAAACAUCUCUAGAAGCAAAGAAAUUUCUUCAUCGGUUGGUGCUUCAAGAAUCAUGGACAAUGUAAUGCCCUCCAAAGCCUGACUUUGGAGAAAAACAUCGCGAAAGUUCAUUGGCUCACCCCCAAUGUCAGAAUCAUAAUAUAGUACCAUAGACUGUUUUCUUGGACUUUCUUUUCCUUCAUCAGGAAAAAGAUGUUGCUCAAGGGUCCUCUGUUUAUCUUCAGAUGAAGCUGCCGAUAACUUCCCAACUUCUUUAAGCACAAGCAGCCAUCUUCUCAGCAACAGAACCCUCUCAGGACCUCUACAAGAGACAGCAGCCUCCUCCAGUCUCUUAACAGUUUGCUUAACACUUCUGUAAUUCCGAUUCCCAAUUCGAUCUUGCAGGAUUUUGGCUCCUUCAGCAACAGCUUGGCCGGCUUGUUGAACGACGGAGUCAGCGUAGUUCUUGACAGCGCGGGUGAGGUUGUUCUUGUUCCCCACCUCCACAGCCUUGUUCACGGCGGAUCUAAGCCACGACAUUUUUUUAUCUUUUUUGGAAAAUUCUUCACUUCUCUUCUAUAAAACACAGAAAAAUCCAAAGGCAAUGUUAGCAAAAGCAGCUUUGAACUGAUUUUUUUUUCCUUUUU
rnacentral:misc_RNA from 1 species